rnacentral:hammerhead_ribozyme from 1 species
AUCCAGCUGACGAGUCCCAAAUAGGACGAAACGCGCGUCGAAUUGGAU